AUGUCUCUCACGAUUAUUUCCUCUACUCAAAAGAAAUUAUGCCCCCAUAACUCUCUAUCGUAUCAGAAUAACAACGACAAAGGAUUUGCUCAGCUUUUUCGCUUAUCCACGAUCACAUCAGUAUCAAGAAUACAUGAAAAAAAAGGGCAAAAAAACUUACAACCUAGAGAUAAUCCGCUGAUUUUCGAUUCUGAUAAAGUUCAAAGGACAUUUGAAGAUGGUUGUCAUAAUUUAUUUAGUGAAUCUGAAACAUGGUGA